UGGGGAAUAUUGGGCAAUGGGCGAAAGCCUGACCCAGCAACGCCGCGUGAAGUAUGAAGGCCUUCGGGUUGUAAACUUCUUUGAUCAGGGAAGAAACAAAUGACGGUACCUGAAAAACAAGCCACGGCUAACUACGUGCCAGCAGCCGCGGUAAUACGUAGGUGGCGAGCGUUAUCCGGAUUUACUGGGUGUAAAGGGCGUGCAGGCGGGCUGAUAAGUCAGAUGUGAAAUCCCCGAGCUUAACUCGGGAACUGCAUCUGAUACUGUUGGUCUUGAGUGCUGGAGAGGAUAGUGGAAUUCCUAGUGUAGCGGUAAAAUGCGCAGAUAUUUGGAAGAACACCGGUGGCGAAGGCGGCCUUCUGGGCCACGACUGACGCUGAGGCGCGAAAGCUAGGGGAGCGAACAGG
rnacentral:rRNA from 1 species